rnacentral:precursor_RNA from 8 species
AGUAGGAAAAUGAGACGUGGACAGGGCUGGAGUGCAGCUGAGGACCAAGGCAGGGCUGCAUGCAUUCACAUGCCAGUUCCACGCUGCAUGCCGGCCUGGUUGCCACAAACCGGCGUGAAGUG